CAAAGACCAAAUCAAUCUAGUAAACUAAAUUAAAAGCAUUACAUCACGGUUAAUGCAGACCGACAAGGUUAAAAACUCUUUGUUUAACAGCUCUAAUGUUUACCAACUUUAUAUUAUUUUAGUUUAGAGAAAAGUGUGUGGUAGAAAUUAAUGAUUAUAUUCUAUGGUAAACUAUGAUUAUUAUUAGGCCUGUAUAUCUAAUGGUAGAAAAUAUGUAAAACGCCUCUGGAUUUUGAUCCAGGGCUGGUCACGAGGCCUGGGAGUCUUGGGUCAGAGCAGGAGUGGGGGCCCAACCCCCCAGGAGCAGGAAGCUACUGACACAAGGCAUGCUGACUCCACUUCCUGGGUCCUAGACUAUCUCGUGACCAUCUGUUUAGAAGAAUUUGUGUUUGAUUAUGUGUGGACACCUAAAAAACAAGAAACUGCUGAGUACUGUGCUAUUGUGUGUUUAAGAAGAGGCUGGAAUCUGUUGAGAAGUGACUCUGCAGACCCACCCGGCUGCUAUCGUUGUUGUUGUACUUCACGAUAAAGUCUUUUGUCAAUACUUGCUCCGGACCCCUCUUUCUUUUAAUCUCUCUCUCUUGAAUUAGUCUAAGUGUUUUGUGUCUCGAUUAAUCUACUACAAGUGUUAAAGAUACAAGUUAUUACAAUUAUUAAUUCCUGAAUAUUUUUUUUAUCUCUCUCCAGAUUUUUCUGAACUUCAAGAAAAGUCUGUAGCUGCAAGUCAAUGAUGAUACAGCAGCCAAAGUAUAGCCUGUGUGGCCAAUUUAUUUAGAAUGUACAAGACAGGAUAAAACAAAAAAACUUAUUUGGCCAUGAAUGAAAAAGACUUGCACUGACACACAGAAGAAAUAUCUGCAAAAAAUCAAAUAGUCAUACAAACUGGACCACCAUGUUCUUACAAAUCCUGUUCCUAAUAUGUUCAGUUUGUAAUACUCAUGGUGUUGCUAGUACUGCAUCACCAUCGUGUGCCAGUGAUGAAUACAGAGCGGGACAGCUCUGCUGCCUUUCAUGUCCUGGUGGUAAGAGUCCAUUAACCCAGCUGUUGUCAAGCUGUUGUCCAAAUACUUCUGUAUGAUUUCUUCAACCAAAUCCAUUGGAAAACAACAUAUUUUAUUUAUUUC
ensembl:lncRNA